UAUAUACUCUCUCUGUCCCAAAAUUCUUGUCUUAGAUUUGUCUAGAUACGGAUGUAUCUAAUACUAAAACGUGACUUGAUACAUCCAUAUCUAGACAAAUCUAAGACAAAAUUUUUGGGACGGAGGGAAUAGCAC
rnacentral:pre_miRNA from 1 species